rnacentral:rRNA from 1 species
UACGUAGGGGGCAAGCGUUGUCCGGAAUCAUUGGGCGUAAAGCGCGUGUAGGCGGCCCGGUAAGUCCGCUGUGAAAGUCGGGGGCUCAACCCUCGAAAGCCGGUGGAUACUGUCGGGCUCGAGUACGGGAGAGGCGAGUGGAAUUCCUGGUGUAGCGGUGAAAUGCGCAGAUAUCAGGAGGAACACCAGUGGCGAAGGCGACUACCUGGCCUGUUCUUGACGCUGAGGCGCGAAAGCUAGAGGAGCAAACGGG